ensembl:lncRNA
GGUUCCCCUUUGGGCCCUGGACCAAUGACUUGACAAUUUCUUCUCUGGAGACACCUGGCUUUGAGCGGCGAGGGGAUGAGAGGUUUAGAGUAGCGGCUCGCAUAGGGUGGUCUGGGGGGCCCUGUGGGUUCCAAGAUCAUUUCAGAACUAGCUAGCUUCAUAGUAAUAAUAGGGUUUCAUUUGCCUUUCUUAGUUUCGCUGGAAUUUUCCAGAGAACUGAUGUAUGAUGACGCCAUUGCUCUCAUGACUAAAGGAAUGUGUGCUUGCAUGUUCUUGUGUUUUCUAGAAUUUCCCAAGGUAGAAUACAUGCUCAAUCACCUCACAGGAAGAGUGGUUUUUCUCAUCCAAGCAAGUGACUUUGAGAAUGCCAACCUGUUGGUGUGAAGCCAAAAGGUAGUUGACUCAUUUUCUGGCAUCAGAAGUGGGAUCCAAAUAAGACCUUCAACAACUCUGAAGCCAGCGAGCAACUGCGUGCUGGUAACCACAGGACCCGAGGAGCUCAGUGCUUUCUCACCGACCUUGCAGUCAGCCUGAGUGCUGCUCUCUUUGCGUGUUGCAGUCUCCAACUUUAUCAUGCAUACCUGUAUUCUGUUUGUUCUAGCUUCUUGCUACCAGCAACCCCACUUCCAAGGAGUGGCGGCUGCACAGGCACAGGAGGGCCAAGAGGAGCUACUCCACGUUCAAGGACAGGAGAUGCAACCUCGUCCAAGGUCAGGAGCAGUGGCUGCGCUUUGCUGGUGUAGUGUGAAGAGAUACCCCAAGUCCAAGGUAAGAG